rnacentral:rRNA from 1 species
UCCUACGGGAGGCAGCAGUAGGGAAUCUUCCGCAAUGGACGAAAGUCUGACGGAGCAACGCCGCGUGAGUGAUGAAGGUUUUCGGAUCGUAAAGCUCUGUUGUUAGGGAAGAACAAGUGCAAGAGUAACUGCUUGCACCUUGACGGUACCUAACCAGAAAGCCACGGCUAACUACGUGCCAGCAGCCGCGGUAAUACGUAGGUGGCAAGCGUUGUCCGGAAUUAUUGGGCGUAAAGGGCUCGCAGGCGGUUUCUUAAGUCUGAUGUGAAAGCCCCCGGCUCAACCGGGGAGGGUCAUUGGAAACUGGGAAACUUGAGUGCAGAAGAGGAGAGUGGAAUUCCACGUGUAGCGGUGAAAUGCGUAGAGAUGUGGAGGAACACCAGUGGCGAAGGCGACUCUCUGGUCUGUAACUGACGCUGAGGAGCGAAAGCGUGGGGAGCGAACAGGAUUAGAUACCCUGGUAGUCCACGCCGUAAACGAUGAGUGCUAAGUGUUAGGGGGUUUCCGCCCCUUAGUGCUGCAGCUAACGCAUUAAGCACUCCGCCUGGGGAGUACGGUCGCAAGACUGAAACUCAAAGGAAUUGACGG